rnacentral:tRNA from 1 species
UGUUCUGUGAGUUGGUUAAAAUGCCGGUCUAGCGAAUACGGAGUCGUGGGUUCGAAUCCCAUCAGAACAC